AAGUCGUAACAAGGUCUCCGUUGGUGAACCAGCGGAGGGAUCAUUAUAGAGUCAUAAAUACUCCAAACCCGUGUAAACAUACCACAUUGUUGCCUCGGCUGGCUGUGCCUUCCCUGUAGCGACCUACCCUGUAGGGAGUUACCCUGUAAGGACCUACCCUGUAAGCACGCCCAAGGCCGGCCGACGGCUCCCGAACUCUAGUUAUAUACGUGAUUUCUGAAAACGCAACUUAAUAAGUUAAAA
rnacentral:misc_RNA from 1 species